GAGUUUGAUCUUGGCUCAGGAUGAACGCUAGCGGCAGGCUUAAUACAUGCAAGUCGAGGGGCAUCAGCUUAUAGCAAUAUAGGGCUGGCGACCGGCAAACGGGUGCGGAACACGUACACAACCUUCCUUUAAGAGGGGGGAUAGCCCAUAGAAAUGUGGAUUAAUACCCCGUAAGAUAGUGGGAUGGCAUCAUACUACUAUUAUAGUUACGACGCUUGAAGAUGGGUGUGCGUCUGAUUAGGUAGUUGGCGGGUAAAGGCCCGACCAAGCCUUCGAUCAGUAGCUGAUGUGAGGGCAUGAUCAGCCACACGGGCACUGAGACACGGGCCCGACUCCACGGGAGGCAGCAGUAAGGAAUAUUGGUCAAUGGACGCAAGUCUGAACCA
rnacentral:rRNA from 1 species